GGGGAAUUUUUCGCAAUGGGCGCAAGCCUGACGAAGCAACGCCGCGUGGAGGAUGAAGGUCUUCGGAUUGUAAACUCCUGUCGACCGGGACGAACAUGGCUGGGCCCAAUACGCCCGGCUAUCCACCGUACCGGUAGAGGAAGCCACGGCUAACUCUGUGCCAGCAGCCGCGGUAAUACAGAGGUGGCAAGCGUUGUUCGGAAUUACUGGGCGUAAAGGGCGCGUAGGCGGCUCUGCAAGUCCCGUGUGAAAUCCCUCGGCUCAACUGAGGAACUGCACGGGAGACUGCUUGGCUUGAGUUCGGGAGAGGGAAGCGGAAUUCCGGGUGUAGCGGUGAAAUGCGUAGAUAUCCGGAGGAACACCGGUGGCGAAGGCGGCUUCCUGGACCGACACUGACGCUGAGGCGCGAAAGCUAGGGGAGCAAA
rnacentral:rRNA from 1 species